ACUACAGAAGAAGACUUAAUUUUCAAGAUGGCAGCGGCCUGUAGGACUGCAUUUGCGGGGGUAAAUGUUUUUCACUCCUCGUUUUGUGCAACUAAACAGGGGUGCCCAGGAUCUCUAGCCGGGGAUGUGCUGCGAUCCAAAAUCCAGAAACUGGACAUAGCUGGUGUGUUUGGAAUGGCGUGCAGGCACAAGCAUCCACUGAAAUUCCUGAACCUGAAGACAGGAGAGAAGUUUGUGGAUGGAAUGGAUGCUUCAGAUGUAUAGUUUCUGUAUUUUAUUUAUGUAUGACAUUGGCUAUGAUGACUGAUGUUGAACUGUCAUUUCAAGGCUUGCAAAUGCUGUGUUCUUACUGGGGACCUGAAAGCAAUGCAGGAACCAAACAUCACAACGUUUCUUCACUAUGACAUUGCUAUGUCAGAAAAACAGUCCCGAUCUGAUGGUGGACCCCACAUUUGCAGGCCAGCCUUUCAUGCCUAUGCUCGUAAUGCUGACUGUCAGGUCACUGAUGGUACCAGGUAUGUGACUGGUAGUGGGCUUGCUGACAGAGAACAGAUGUCGAGGUUGUUCUAGUUUGGAAAAUUUGAAAGAUCACAAAAGAGAUGACACCAUCUCAUCGUGUUGACACCCUCACCGAUGCCCUCUAUUACGUGGUCCAGGAGAAGCAAGGUAUCAAUGUGUAACAGGAAAUCACAACGGCAAUACAACUCUGUCAGCAGAAGGUCCUAAAGGAGGAAACUGAGGCAAAGGAGGAGUUGUUGUGUGCUCGACAGCAUUCCAGGCAGCACACGGUCGGGCGUGGAAGUUUGGACCUGUAAGAUAAAGGAAAACCUCAGACAAGAGGAUGUUGUUCCUUACCUGGCAGGAGAGAGACGUGGAAACUCUUGCAGAGCAACAUCGAGUCCCGUAAGUAGUUGCUACAUCUCUGACCUAAGGUUUUAUCCCAUCUCUAAAUAGCCCUUUCUGUCUGGCUUAGCCCUACCAGUCAUGACUGACACGUUCGUAUACCCUACUAUUUAUCCUGGUCCCACAAUCUACUAGAUCUCCCUGUUACUUUAUUCUCUUUUCACCGCCACCUGCCCCUUUCCACUGCAUAUCCCAAAGACUGAAUGCCCCCCCUCUCCUGCUUAAUCCAUUCAACAUUAAGUCUUCUGACUGGAUUGAAUGCUGGUCUCUACACUGCAGCAAUUUUGGAAAGUCUGCAGACUAAGAUGACUCACUGUCUGCUGGCAACAAUCCAUAGGCUGGUCCUGAAGUGCUCUCUCUAUUGUGGCCUGGUCUGAAAGUAUGCAGGUACUGCAGCCAAUUCAGUCUUGUUGAACACGGCAUCACUCCCUGGCAUAUCACUGCUGUUGAUAUCUAAUUGUCAUUCCCACAGGUGUUUUGAACUAUAUGAAAGAUUUCUAUCAAACUUCAAGAUUUUCAUGAUCAUUUCUUUCAAAUGUUUUUCAGAUGCACAGACUAUUGCUGUGCAGCUCUCCAGAAAAGCCAGGUGGACAUCGGAGAGAAUAAAAAAGCAGAUCAUCUCCUACAAUGGAGGGAACAAGUCACCUCAAUUCCCCCUAAGACUGGAGUACAUGGAUGUUCUCCAGCAAGACCAUCCAGUCUGGUCCCAGGUGUCCAAACGUUUGGGGGAUAGUCUGCUCCGGGCCAAGCAGCAUGCGGUGAUGCUGCACAAGGUCCUAAACCAUAUCAUAUCAUAAACCAUACCACCAUCGAUAAAAGACUGUACUCUGCCAACUUCAUCGACCUGGCCAAGGCUUUUGACUCUGUCAAUCACCGUAUUUUUAUCGGCAGACUCAACAGCCUUGGUUUCACUAAUGACCUCCUCGCCUGGUUCACUAACUACUUCUCAGAUGGAGUUCAGUGUGUCAAAUCGGAGGGCCUGUUGUCCGGACCUCUGGCAGUCUAUGGGGGUGCCACAGGGUUAAAUUCUCGGGCCGACACUCUUCUCUGUAUAUAUCAACGAUGUCACUCUUUCUGCGGUUGAUUCUUUGAUCCACUUAGGUAUUGACUUAGGUAUUUAAAGUUGUCCACAUAUUCAGAGUGUCUGGCUAGACUGUGAACUCUACUUCCAGACUCCUAUUAAGCAUCUCCAAUCCAAAAUUAAAUCUAGAACCGGCUUCCUAUUUUGCAACAAAGCCUCCUUCAUUCAUGCGGCCAAACAUACCCUUGUAAAACUGACUAUCCUACCGAUCCUUCACUUCGGUGAUGUCAUUUACAAAAUAGCCUCCAACACUCAGCAAAUUGGAUGUAAUCUAUCACAGUACCAUCCGUUUUGUCACCAAAGCCCCAUAUACUACCCACCACUGCAACCUGUAUGCUCUCGUUGGCUAGUCCUUGCUACAUUUUUGUUGCCAACCCCACUGGCUCCAGGUCAUCUAUAAGUCUUUGCUAGGUAAAGCUCUGCCUUAUCUCAGCUCACUGGUCACCACAGCAACACCCACCUGUAGCACGUGCUCCAGUACGUAUAUUUCACUGGUCAUCCCCAAAGCCAACACCUCCUUCCAGUUCUCUGCUGCCAAUGACUGGAAGGAAUUGCAAAAAUCACUGAAGUUGGAGACUUAUAUCUACACAGCCCAUCUGUAAAUAGCUCAUCCAACCAACUACCUACCUCAUCCCAAUAUUUGUUUUUAUUUUUCUGCUCUUUUGCACACCAGUAUUUCUACUUGCACAUCCUCAUCUGCACAUAUCACUCCAGUGUAAAUUGUAAUUACUUUGCCGCAUUUGGCUUAUUUAUUGCCUCCUUACUUCAUUUGCACACACUAUAAACAUUUUUCUGUUGUGUUGUGACUGUUUGUUUAUCCCAUGUGUAACUCUGUUUUUGUUGCACUGCUUUGCUUUAUCUUGGCCAGGUCACAGUUUUAAAUGAGAACUUCUUCUCAACUGGCCUAUCUGGUUAAAUAACGGUGAAAAAAUAAAUAAAAUAUGUGCAGCUAAGGACAGGCACCUUAUACAGGCAGACCUACACAAUGUAGGCUCGGUCAGCAGAUAUGUAUAGGAGGACAGUGAUUCAGAAGAUGAAAGUGGUUGAGGUGUGUGUGUGUUAUAUAGGGGCAAAAUAUACACUGAGUAUUCAAAACAUUAAGAAUACCUUCCUAAUAUUGAGUUGCUGGAUGUCAUUUGGUUGGUGUACCAUUCUUGAUAUACACAGGAAACUGUUGAGCGUGAAAAACCAAACAGCAUUGCAGUUCUUGACACAAACCGGUGUGCCUGACACCUACUACGAUACUCCAUUCAAAGGCACUUAAAUAUUUUGUCUUCACCCACUGAAUGUGUUUGAUAAUUUUUCUUGUUGUAAGCCAUUUUGUUCUUCCCUGGCAACUCAAGUCUGAGAAUGUUAAUUGCCACUAAAGAAGGUGAUAACUUGGUGUCUCUCCAGGAACUCCCCUUUGCCCCCAUAAUGGAUGAUGAUAUGCAAGAAUGAAUUGGUAUCCAUGUUUGAUUAAGUACCUGAAGGUUUUUAGUUAUGUUGUUAAUUGACAGCAACCGUAGAAUGUAAUGGAAAAAGGAUCAGAUAUGAAGAUGGAGUUUUGUCUAUUGUAAUGCCUAUUGUAUGUAAGAAUCAGUAUUUACUAAAUGCACUCCUGAUGAUAGACUGACUAUGUUAAGUAAAAUGUAUUUUUAUUAUCCCAUAUGGUGGUACAAGGAUGGAGUAUAAUAGAAAUGUUUAAUGUGUUCUGUGACUACAUGUAACGUGUUUCUUGUUGUUGGGUUAGGAUGUUCUGUGACUGCUCUCAGGGAGGACUGAUAGAAGGGAACACAGUUUCUAGGCUUAAUGCACGCUGAGAGCAGCAACGCCUAGUUUGUGCAUGAGCUUCCGACAGACUUGUAUAAGCUUCCGACAGACUGUUAAGUUUGUUGUAACCUCUCCGGCCAUGAUGAUAAAGAUAUGUUAAUUUAA